GACGAACGCUGGCGGCGUGCUUAACACAUGCAAGUCGAAAGGAAAGGCCUCUUUCGGGGGGUACUCGAGUGGCGAACGGGUGAGUAACACGUGAGUAACCUGCCCUUGACUUUGGGAUAACUUCAGGAAACUGGGGCUAAUACCGGAUAGGAGCUCCUGCUGCAUGGUGGGGGUUGGAAAGUUUCGGCGGUUGGGGAUGGACUCGCGGCUUAUCAGCUUGUUGGUGGGGUAGUGGCUUACCAAGGCUUUGACGGGUAGCCGGCCUGAGAGGGUGACCGGCCACAUUGGGACUGAGAUACGGCCCAGACUCCUACGGGAGGCAGCAGUGGGGAAUAUUGCACAAUGGGUGGAAGCCUGAUGCAGCAACGCCGUGUGCGGGAUGACGGCCUUCGGGUUGGAAACCGCUUUCGCUCAUGACGAAGCUUUGUGUGACGGUAGUGGGUAAAGAAGCACCGGCUAACUACGUG
rnacentral:rRNA from 1 species